AACCUUUUCAUUUUUAUUUUUUUUGGUUCGCCGGGAUGCCCAUUUUUGCCUGGACUAUUUUAUUCUUUUCAUCCAGCGGGUCUCUUAUACGAAGUAUUUUUUAACUGCGUCCGCAUUCAUAGGGGAUGGAAAAUCCUCGCCAUCCAUGGUCGUCAACAACAAGGCUCCGCCAGAGAAAACCUUCUUUACCAUGAAUGGACCCUCA
rnacentral:lncRNA from 1 species